GCAGCUGGAAGUAUUCUAAGUGUAUGGCAGAAGCAAGCUGAUGUAUCUCAAAGAUACACAAGUUGUUGGAGGUUUGGAAGAUGUACAAGUUGCUGGAGGUUUGGACGAUCUUACAAGUUGGUGGAGUGAUAAUAUAUAUUACCUCCGUCCCAAAUUAUGUUGUCUUAGACUAGAAGGUGUUUAGGUACAUCCGUAUCUAGACAAAUAAUUCGGUAGAUAGGGAGUAUGUAAUAUGCCUUCUUUGUUGAGCCUAAAGAUUUUACAAGUGUCACUUUGCUCAUUUUGGUGGUUGUUUUGGCACAUAAGCCAUGGAAUUCUCAUUUUGGAUGUGUGGCACAAUUUCUUUUCCUAGAAACAUAUGUACUUUGCAUUGUGGCAGAAUGUUCUUAUGUAUUUGAUUGGUUAAUGUUAUUGAAUGAGACCUUGCAUGUAACAUUGAUUAAA